rnacentral:rRNA from 1 species
GACGAACGCUGGCGGCGUGCUUAACACAUGCAAGUCGAACGGAAAGGCCCUGCUUUUGUGGGGUGCUCGAGUGGCGAACGGGUGAGUAACACGUGAGUAACCUGCCCUUGACUUUGGGAUAACUUCAGGAAACUGGGGCUCAUACCGGAUAGGAGCUCCUGCUGCAUGGUGGGGGUUGGAAAGUUUCGGCUGUUGGGGAUGGACUCGCGGCUUAUCAGCUUGUUGGUGGGGUAGUGGCUUACCAAGGCUUUGACGGGUAGCCGGCCUGAGAGGGUGAACGGGCACAUUGGGACUGAGAGACGGACCAGACUGCUACGGGAGGCAGCAGUGGGGAAUAUGGCACAAUGGGCGGAAGCCUGAGGCAGCAACGCCGCGUGCGGGAUGACGGCCUUCGGGUGGUAAACCGCUUUCGCCGGUGACGAAGCGGGAGUGACGGUAAUGGGUAAAGAAGCACCGGCUAACUACGUG